rnacentral:rRNA from 1 species
UACGGAGGGGGUUAGCGUUGUUCGGAAUGACUGGGCGUAAAGCGCGCGUAGGCGGAUCGGAUAGUUGGGGGUGAAAUCCCGGGGCUCAACCCGGGAACUGCGUCCGAUACUGGCAGGCUUGAAUCCGGGAGAGGGAUGCGGAAUUCCAGGUGUAGCGGUGAAAUGCGUAGAUAUCGGAAGGAACAUCAGUGGCGAAGGCGGGUCUCUGGACAGUUCCUGACGCUGAGGCACGAAGGUCAGGGGAGCAAACGGGG